UACGGGGGAGCAACGUUGUUCGGAAUUAUUGGGCGUAAAGGGCGCGUAGGCGGCUUUGCAAGUGACGGGUGAAAGCCCUCGGCUUAACCGAGGAACUGCCUGUCAGACUGUGAGGCUUGAGACCGGGAGAGGUGAGUGGAAUUCCCAGUGUAGCGGUGAAAUGCGUAGAUAUUGGGAGGAACACCAGUGGCGAAGGCGGACUCACUGGACCGGAA
rnacentral:rRNA from 1 species